rnacentral:rRNA from 1 species
GACGAACGCUGGCGGCGUGCCUAAUACAUGCAAGUUGAGCGAUGAAGAUUGGUGCUUGCACCAAUUUGAAGAGCAGCGAACGGGUGAGUAACGCGUGGGGAAUCUGCCUUUGAGCGGGGGACAACAUUUGGAAACGAAUGCUAAUACCGCAUAACAACUUUAAACAUAAGUUUUAAGUUUGAAAGAUGCAAUUGCAUCACUCAAAGAUGAUCCCGCGUUGUAUUAGCUAGUUGGUGAGGUAAAGGCUCACCAAGGCGAUGAUACAUAGCCGACCUGAGAGGGUGGUCGGCCACAUUGGGACUGAGACCCGGCCCAAACUCCUUCGGGAGGCAGCAGUAGGGAAUCUUCGGCAAUGGACGAAAGUCUGGCCGAGCAACGCCGCGGCAGUGAAGAAGGUUUUCGGAUCGUAAAACUCUGUUGGUAGAGAAGAACGUUGGUGAGAGUGGAAAGCUCAUCAAGUGACGGUAACUACCCAGAAAGGGACGGCUAACUACGUG